UGGGGAAUUUUGCGCAAUGGGCGAAAGCCUGACGCAGCGACGCCGCGUGGGUGAUGAAGGUCUUCGGAUUGUAAAGCCCUGUCGGGGGGGGCGAAUCAUCUCAUGGCUAAUAUCCAUGGGAUCUGACGGUACCCCCAAAGGAAGCACCGGCUAACUCCGUGCCAGCAGCCGCGGUAAUACGGAGGGUGCAAGCGUUGUUCGGAAUUACUGGGCGUAAAGCGCCUGUAGGCGGUUUAAGAAGUUGGGUGUGAAAUCCCCGGGCUCAACUCGGGAACUGCGCCCAAAACCAUUAAGCUUGAGUGCCAAAUGGGUACGUGGAAUUCCCAGUGUAGCAGUGAAAUGCGUAGAUAUUGGGAGGAACACCGGUGGUGAAGACGACGUACUGGAUGGUAACUGACGCUGAGAGGCGAAAGCGUGGGUAGCAAACAGG
rnacentral:rRNA from 1 species